CUUUGAAGACAUGUUGAAUAGCAAGAUCUGCUGGUGAGCUUGACAAGUGUGCUCUGCAGCGAUGGCGGCUCUGAAUUGUAUUCACGGUUGGAGAUUUCUCAUUCUCCGAGGAAUAUGUUCGAUACAGACACCGCGGGUCUCCUUGUUAUGCUAGAAACCAGCGGUUGUUUGCACGUAAGGAGCUACCACACGGUAAUGAGGUGCAGCCAGAGGCAAAAUGACAUUUGGCGACGUCUUUUGUGUACUGCAGCCAGUGACUCUGAAUGGGAACUCCGGAGUAGCAUGCAGGGCUACAGAAUCACGUCUUGGAUCAAUGUGCCGCAGACACAGACUUCAUGGCCUGUAGUUAGAAACGGCUUCUUUCUCCAGUGUCAACCCCGCCG
rnacentral:lncRNA from 1 species